CACGUGCUUGUUAUCGUGGUUAGGUUGUAAUCUCAAGCGAAGUUUAAUUUGUGAAAUUUAAUAGAUAUGUCUUAACGCCAAUCAUGUCUACAUGUAAGAUUCAUAAUGUGAGAUUUUAUAAUUUGGAACCAAGAGCGGCAACUUGCUUAACCUAUGAACGCCGACAUAAAAAACUGGCACUUUCGAGAAACGACAAUUCGAUCGAAAUAUGGAACGUGGCAAAUGCUCCGUUUUUGGAAAACACCAUACCUGGACAUCCAGAAGGAUGCGUCGAAACCGUUCUAUGGGUUGGAUCCAGACUAUUUUCGACUGGGUUAAGCGGUAUGAUUAUGGAAUAUGACUUAACGCAAUUGGGUAUUAAAGCCGAGACUGCGGUGACAGGAGGAGCGGCUUGGUGCAUGAGUGUAAAUAGAGAAAAUACUCGUUUAGCCAUUGGUACGGAGGAUGGUUAUAUAAACACCUUUACUGUUACAAAUGAUUCCUUACUUUACGAGAGGAUCUUUGAUAAACAGAAAGGAAGAAUAUUAUGUAUCGAAUGGGACAAUACCGGUGAAAUGAUUUUCACUGGUUCUACCGACACUGUAAGAGUAUGGAAUGCAAUUACCGGUCAUGCAAUUCAUAAGAUGAUCACGUCUAGAAAAGAAGGAAAGAAAGAGACAAUAAUCUGGUGCUUGGCGGUGACCGAUGACAACCUCAUAGUUUCGGGAGAUUCCCGGGGUAUUUUGUCAUUUUGGGAUCCCCAUAUGGGAACUUUAAUCGAAGCCCAUGAAAGUCAUUCCGCGGAUAUACUUGCUAUUGCAAUGUCUCGCGAAACUAAUAUGGUGUAUUGCGCUGGCGUGGAUCCAGUAGUGCGAACUUUUUCUAGGGUACUUCUUAAAUCCACAGGAAAGGCACAUUGGGUAAAAGGAAUCGAAAGGAGACUUCAUACUCAUGACGUUAGAGCUUUAGUGGAAGCUAAUGGAAAGUUGUACUCUGCUGGAGUAGAUGGGUAUUUGGCUCAGUCGAGCUACCCUCCAAAAAUGCUUGUGAAAUAUCCCCCAUUAUUACAACCACCGUGUGUGACCGUUUGUAAAAAGUCGAGGUGCAUUUUGUUGAGAUAUACAAACUAUUUAGAAUUAUGGAAAUUGGCGUCUACAAGUAAAACGUCACAGAACUCCUCCCAUGUUCAAACGACGCAUUGGCUCGGAGAAGAGCCAAUAAAAUUGCUUCAACUAAAAACGAAAGGUGACGAGCCUAUAAUUUCCUGUGCAAUUAAUAAAGACUCUAAAACAAUCGUGUACUCAACCGACACUCAUGUUAGAGUUUUCAAUUUUGACGUAAUCGAUGGUGACGCUCAAUUGGCUAGGAAUGACAUCGACUUAACUUUGCCCAGGGUGCAGAAAAUGUUGUUCAGCCCAAACGGAAAGCUCUUUGUGGCCAUUAAUAACGAUGGAAAUGGGAACACGAUAGUUUUCUUCCGAGUUGAGAAGAAACUUCUCUGGCUAGCAGGCUCCGUUCGUACUCCAAAAGAUUCCAUGGAUAAUAUCGGCUUGAUGUGUUUUUCACCCGACAGUGGCUACUUACUCUGUGCCGACCAACGAAGUCGUAUCGUUGUAUAUAAAAUUGACAGAGAACUUUCCACAGAAUCUAUCCAAUCGUGGUAUUUACCAAAAUACAACUGUGCACCAACUGCGAUAGCUGUCCAAAAGAGCACCCUGAACUUGGUCAUCGUUUACUCCGAUCACAAGAUCCUCGAGUAUAACAUCCCGAAGAGGCAGUUCACCGAAUUUUCCAACAACCUCGAGAGUCGUUUACCGCAUCAGUGGCUCGCUCGGCCAUUUCCAGUCACCAAUGUUACUUUCGAUCCGAACAACGAGAACGUAAUUAUUUUACACGAUGACACAACCGUUUACGUCAUUGACAAGAACAAAAGUCUUCCGAGGAACGAAGCUAAAAUCCCGAAGCUCGAAAACGGCGAAUCUACGGAAGAUAGCAGUUCGGGUUCUUAUUCCCAGUCCCAGCACGCUUUUCAUAUGGCGAAGAAGUACAAGCACCUGGUGCACCUGGCGUGGCUGAACGACAGCGAAAUGGUGGCGGUGGAAGUGGAUCCUACUUCUUUAAUCGAAAAAUUACCUCCGACGCUCAAGCAAAAGUAUUAUGGCAUGUAAUUCAUGAAGGACUCCUGAUGAAGAUGAUAGUUCCGACAAACCAUGUUCCUUUGUCUGCAGUUUAAUGGAUAAGAUUCCCCCGUACCUUGCAUAUCUACCGAGGAAACAGAGGUCAUACUCGCGUCCGUUGAUCCGGAAUUUCCUCCGUGGUGUCUUCUUCUGGACGGGUUUCUUCCACCUUUACUUCCUCUUCGCCGACGCAGUAGACGCUCCUCCUUCCCUCUGCCAGGUGGAGGUCGCGACG
rnacentral:misc_RNA from 1 species